rnacentral:rRNA from 1 species
UGGUCAAGUUAUUAAGGGUGCAGGGCGGAUGCCUUGGCACUAGGAGCCGAUGAAGGACGUGAUAAGCUGCGAUAAGCUUCGGGGAGUUGCACGUAAACUUUGAUCCGAAGAUUUCCGAAUGAGGAAACUCACUUAGAGUAAUGUCUAAGUAUCAUUAAGUGAAUACAUAGCUUAAUGAGGGGAAC